AAAAAAAAAAGAGAGAGAGAGGAAGCAGGGAACAACUGAGCCAAAACAAAAUUAUCCCCUAAGGACUUGACUUUGGACUUCCACAUAAAUGUGACCUUGAAGACCUAGAUACAUAUUUAUCAGCCGUACCUAAAUGAUGUCAGACUAAUGAGAAAAGAAGUGGACUAAAUAUGUAAAUGAUACGCCCAAACUAAGUGAAGACCAAACAAUGUCAUAUCAUGCUGUUCAAGAGAAGUUUCCAUCGUAUUUCAAUAAGAGGUAUGGUUGGGAGACUGAAGUCAUUGCCUUACACACAAAUAGACAUACUGAACUCAGAAGAACACAUACUGUGCUGGGCAGUGCCAUGGUCAAAUGGCAAAAGCCAAAGUGGAAUAGAGUAGCUAUGAGAUUUUGUUGGUUUCAAGAAGAAAGUGGCUUGUUUACUUCUGAUCAAAUCAGCAAAGUAAGAUGUGAUGAAAAGACCUCAAUUAUACCAAUUUCUGCUUAGUAGAUGAUUGUCAAAAUGGCUCUGAUAAGAGUAAUGUGAUACAACUCUAAGCACAAAUUGUGGAAGGGAAAUAUGAUCUAAUCAUAUGACCUUGGUUAAUAAGUUUCCAAAAUAGGCCUCAGUAGGUCUUAUCUACUUGAGAAUUUCAUAAUCUGAUGUCAGCCUUGUCUUUCUUGACCUCUGUUGCUUUGGAUACUGUGAAACAGAUUCCUCCUUCUGGAAAUCUUUUCUCCCUUUGGGUUCCAUAACCUGAUGGUCUUCCUGCUACCCUGAGAGCUCCGUCUCGGUUUCCUCUGUGAGCUUGCUUCUCAGAUGGUGCUGUGCCUCAGGCCCUAUCUCAGCUCCGACCUUUUCCCAGUCAAUUUCAUAUACACUUAUGACUCAGCUACCAUAAAUAUGCUGACCAUUUCCAAAUCUCUUAUCUCAAGCCCACCCUCUUCUCUUGAACUUGACACCCAGAACUUCCUUUUAUUUGUAUUAACAAAAGAAAAAAAAAACCCAAACCCCAUAAAACUGUAUACUUUAAAUGUACAAAGCAGAUCUCAUCUUCCUCAUACAUCUGAUACCCUCUUAUAAUCUUUGUUUCAGUCAGUGACAUCACCUAUCCAGUUAACAGAUACGGAGACUUAGGACUCAUCCCUGACUUUUUGGUCAUUAAAUGCAUUGCAAAUAUUUUACAUCAUAAAUAUAACUAGUAUUAUCUAUACCUUUUUCAGGUGUGUGGCUGUAAGGAAAGUACAUCCCUGGUUUUUUAGCAUUCAGACCGAACAUCUCUUUUUUGGCUUGGCUAAGGUGAUGAGCUCUGUCUUGCUAUUGGUCUAUUGCUGAGUGGCAUUUGAAAGUUGUUGAAGAGGUGAACAAAAUGCAAAGCGAUCAAGGAGUUCCCUUGUAAAUCAGAACUCCUUACCCUUUCCCUCUAAGGUCUCAAGUUAUUACAACACUUCUGAUGGCCUGGGAUGGUCCUAAGAAGUCUCAGUUGUCAGAAAUGUACAAUAACAGCCCUUAAGGAGGAAUCCACCGUGUUGGUGGUGACAGUGGUGGUGGAGUUGGUGGUGGUGUCUUAUCCUGGGGGAGGGUCAGUGAGGAACAGAGUCAUGUGAUUGCAUCACAACCUGGUCUACCACCUUGGACCGUGGGGUUUGUCAAGAGAAAUGGCUGAUUAACUGUAAAUGCAACUAUCUGUCACUAGAGUUGUAACCAGGAACCCAGUGUCCUAUGGUGUGGAGUACCCAUUGCCACAACCUUUAUGCCUGGGAGCUGAACAUCUUGUUUCUGGUACCAGCCUCACCAGAGCAGUGGUUGGAACCUUAGGCAGAGUGACUAGACUUCUCAGUUUCUUUUCUGCGUAACGAUAGUAAACAGGACUACCUCAUUUGGACUAAGUAAGCAGCUGGAGGAUUUUACAUUUCAAGGAAGGAAAAGCUCAGAGAAUGAAGAAGGCAUUUCUUACAAGCAGUAGGAUGGAAGCUCUAAUUUGAUUUAUCUGUGUACUGACUUAAAUUUGGCUUAUUUCCUAUAGCAGCAGGUAAAAGCUCCUAGAACAGGGGAUGGCAAUUGGUGGGUAUUCAAUAAUGUGUGGAUUUGAAUCUCAUUCUUGCUUAAUCAGACACACCUCAUACUAUCUUUGAGAAAUUAUAAAUGACAAGCCGGCCACCACUCCAAACUGACAUUUCCCCUGCAGAAGAGUCAGUCCAACCUUAACAGGCUUGGGAAUAGCAGGAAGAAAGGGUUUAAAGCCAGCAAGUAAAUUAAAUACCCAUGCAUGUGACUUCACAAUAUAGCCCUUGUUUAGAAGGUUAGCCCACCUGUUUCCACCUCCAGCUCCUUACCCUUAUCCUAAGCCACCACUGUUUCUCACUUGCAUUCCUCACUGUUUCCUACCUGGGCAAUACAACAUGAUCUUCUUCUGAAACCAUCAAUGGCUUCCCCAUUGAAUUCAGAGUAACACUCAACCUCCUCACUAUGACCUGAAAGACCCCUAAGGAUCUGGCCACAUCUCUCCUGCAACCUCAGCCCGCCAAAAUCCCUCCCACGUCAGGAUUGCCACACUGCUCCCUCCCUUCCUUUAGGUGUAGCUGAAAUGUCACCUUAAAGUAUUCUCUGACUGUCACACCCAAAGCAGGAAAGUGCUAUUCUCUAGCUCGAUAACUUCUUGUUUGAUUUUUUUUUUAACACUUCACAUUCUAUAUUGUUUUAUAUUUUUGUAUGUUUGCCUUUUUUGGUCAUCUGUGCCCUGUACUACAAUGAAGCUCUGUGCAUGCAGGGACCAUGGCUGACUCUUGUAUGACUGUGUCAUAUCUAGAAUUGGGGCUGGCAUGCAGGAAAUCUUAGUCAAAUGGAUGAAAUGAGGUGGUUUUGUUCAGUACUCCCAAAUUAUGGAAUUAUACACCUAAUCUACCCUUGGGAACCACAGAGAAUAAUUGUUUGAUGCAUUUGUUUUUUUAAGAAGCUGAGUUUAUGACAAUAAGCUCUGUCUGGCUGAAUCACUUAAAAUACAUGUGUACCAGAACAUUCAGCAAACUAUCAUGACAAACAAUUUUGAAAUAUGAUAUGUAAUAACAGAAAUGGAAAAGGUUUUAUUUAUAAAACCAAUCUAAAAUGUGUCACUCCCA
rnacentral:lncRNA from 1 species